GUCUUCUCACUGUGUCCUCACAUCCUCUGGUCUCUUCAGCCCCUACAUAGGCACCAAUCCCAUUCUUGAGGGCUCCACCCUCAUGACCUAAUCACCUCCCAAAGGCCCACCUCCUAAAACCAUCACAUUAGGGGUUAGGAUUUCAACACAUGAGUUGGAGCUGGGAGGGCCGGGGGAGACACAAACAUUCUGUCUAUGGCACCACCCUAGGUCAUAUCUAAUUUAAGGGAGAUCAUUACUAAACUAAGAAAUUUGAAGCUGAAAGAGAGCUCCAGAAAUCGAGAAGUUUGGUUACUGACUCUAAGCACAAACUGAACAAUUACAAAGAUGUGCGGUAAACACUCAGAAUGUGGUCAUUGCUGAGCACCAACGACCUUGUUUCCUGGGAAGACAUAGUGUGCUGGAGUGAAUGCUGGACUUGGAAGCAAAAGAUAAGAUUUGGACUCCUGCCUCAAUAGGGAAUGGCUAUUUACACCUGCUCUGCACAGCUGACCCGGUUAUUUUAAGGCAAAAGGAGUACGGGGUCAGUGAAAAGUAACUGUAACUAUAAGAAGCUCACAAACAUAAGGCAUUGUGGGAUGAAGCUGUUUGCCAUGAAAUGAUGAGUUUUCUGGGAGCGUAGGUACCAAUCUGAACAGUGCAGGUUAAAAAUUAUAUCCUGCUGUGAGGGAGGUGUGCUGCAUGUGGACCCACCACAACACUGGGGCUUCCUUGUCCUCUGGCUGGGGGACUGAGCAAGAGAAGGGACACAGUGCUUGUGGCCUUCGCUUCCCUGUCUAGCAAGCCGUCACUGGGCAGGGCUGCAAUUUUCUAACUAAGGCCACACUCCUGUUGGGUAAGUUCUUCUCCUCCAUUCCAUCUCUCACCAUCUUCUACCAAGAAGGUUAAUUGGGUUAAGAUAGACUGUUUACGGGAGUGGGAAAGUGGGCCAGGAAAGGGAAAGUGGCCAUUAUCAGGAGUAUUGAUGGCAGGUUGCCACUGUGAGAUGCUUGGCGCAGACCUCUAGAAAACACUGUAGGACCAGCCUCAGAGUUGACCUGCCCGAGGUGUGAGGAGGCUGGGCCCCCACUUCAGAUCCCCGAGUACUGAGACCACUGCUGCAAGCUCUCAGCAUGUGGCUUCCCUUGGGGCUGCCUUACCUGCACACAUCUCUGUCAGUUGUCACUUCAUCCAACUCUCUUCAGUUACCCCUUGAGGAGGCCGUCUCUUUCCUGCUCUGACUCCAAAACCAGCUAUGUUUUCCCAAAUUAUUCUAUCUGAAUGACCAGAUGUAGCACAUGCUCGUGUCCCACGCUAUCCCUUGUCACUGGCUGUUUCUAUACACACCGAUGGCUUCUUCUCCAAGGGCCUGCAAGUUUUCUCCAGCUGAAGGUUCCUGUGGCCCUCACACGGGGCAGGCCACAGUGUUGAGGCGUGAAAGACGCUGAGAGCAGCCCUCGAGCAACGACAGGGGGGAGCCAGCGGAUAAGACCUCAGCCUCCUCACCCCUUGAGCCGAAUGACUCUCAAGCUUGUUGUGCAGUUCUCCUGAGGUCUGAGCCGAGCUGCUCACAACAACAAACUGCUUUGUCAAUGUUGCCUGUAGUGGCCGCCUUCCUGUUCCUGACCUACCUCCCAACCCACUAACAGCCCUUCUUGGAAUUGCUUCCCAAUGAACCUGUUUGCACUUGAAUCUUUAUCUCAGCAUCUGCUUCUGUGGGACCUCAACCUAAGAUACCAGGUAAUCAUAUCUUGACCUGUGGCAUCGAGUGCCUUGUCUAUACAGGUCACUUACGAGCUACCAUGGACUAAACUAAAUUCCACAGCAAGGUUGAUAAGACCCUUCACGAUCAAGCCACUGCUCACUGUCCAGCUUCACCUUUCCCCAAUGCUUUCUCCACCACACCCUCUUUCUUGACUUCCAUAGACCAGUUACGCUCAAUUAUCUGCAGAUCUUGGAAUAUGUUCCAAUCCUCAAGCCUCCGGCCCUGUACCACGUUGCUCUCUUUGCCAAGAACAACCUUUCCCACCAUGCAUUAGUCUACCUCCCAUUGUCUUCAAGGUUUCAGCCCUCCCUGAUCACUCCCCACUAGCACACACUCAAGCUGGGUGACAUGUCCCUCUUAUGUGCUUCCAGACCACUCCGUUCUGAUAUUGCCUAUUUUCUCCCACUGGACUGUAAACUCUGUGAUGCAGAAACUCUAUCUUACUUAUCUUCAAAUUCCCAGGCCCAGUAUCAUACCUACACAGAGUAAACCUGGAAUAAAUGCUUAAUGAAUUAAUGAAAAAAAGUUGUAAAUGAACAAAGCUUUUAAUUUUGGAAAGGAAAUAAGACAAUUCCUUUAAUACAAGGUGGAAUACAGUGAGAAUCAUGAGGAAAAUCUACACCAUUUUGUGGGCUAUCAGCCUGGAGAGAAGGCAGCAAUUACUUCCUUGUAGAAGAGGUGAACUUUGGCUGUGAAGGUCGUGAAAGACAGCGAUAGUUGGGCAGUGGCAUUGGAGAGCAUGAGGAGGAGGGGAAGGAAGUGGUCCAGAGAGAGGGAACCCUAGUGCAAAUGGCCUGAGGCAGGACAUUUCUGAGUGGGCCUGGGAAAUGGGGAAUGAUCCAGCCAGCAGAGUGCAGGAUACCUAGGAGAGCGCUGGGGGGCAGUGAGGAAGGUGCAGAUGAGGGUGCUUCCUCUGACCACGUAGAAGCAGUCCCAAGGAGUGUGACUUUGCUCAUUGUUUAAUAUACUGACCCUCCCCCAGCACUGCCAUCUUUCCUUCCUUCCUCAGCUUCCUCUGUUCGUGGGUGAGGCUUCCUGUUAAGUCGUUCUGAGAACUGUGGUUUUCAGAGGUUUAGAGACUAAGAAUGCCUGCCAGCAAAAUCACCGCUGAACAUCCCCACUGAAUUCCAGGAAACGACUCCUCACUCUGCGGACCUGGGCUCUCCAGAGAGCGCCAACCGUCCAAGGGGACAGAGACCGGGAGGUGUUCUCUUCCCUUCCAGGGGGCCUUGCCUUGACACAGCAUUCAAGGCCACCUGGGAAAAGGAGCAUGCAGCUCUGCUUCUUGUCAACAAAGCCAAACUGUGACUACCAGGAUGCUUGCUAUUUAAAGUGGAAUCUGCUGUGAAUCACUUCCAGGACAGAGACUCGUUUGCAAAAUGAAGCGCCACCUUCUUCUACUUUUUAAUUAAUAAUUUAAAAAAAUUAUAUAAGGUAAAUUUUCAUUUUUCUAGAAUCCAGAAAAAAUAGAUAUAAUUAACUAGAGAGUAAAAGAAAGACUGUACGAGGACAACCAACAUUUAUAAUAAUGACAAUAAAAUGCCACAAAAUCUUAGGGUGCCUUCUGAAAAUUGAACUACUGGUCAAUAACUCCUUAUCCACAAUUCCAAAAUUCAUUUGGUAGCAAAAAUUGACCUGAACUAAUGAGAAGUUAUUUAUAUUCAUUUAUCUCACUUAGAGUAAAUAUUCAUACGUUUUGCUGCAGACAUAUGAAUGUGUUUUGCUACAGGUGUUGUCCCAGACCCUGCUGGGGGCAUUAUAUAAUAUAUAGUUUAUGCAUGUUAUUAUACUUCUAGAAUACAAAGCAUUAUGAAUUCCAGACAUAUCUGGCCCAAAGGGCUUCAGAUAAGGGAUUUGGGGCCUGAGCCCAUAUCAGUUGUGUUCAACUUUAUUUUGGUGUUAGGUGUUUUUUAGGAUAUUCCAACUUUGUGAGGUCAGAGCGCUGGCUAUUCCCUUUUCAUUGCCCACCUCCUUCCUGUCCCCUCCUGGAUUCAGACGCCACUGCCCUGCCCUCUGCUCAGAGAGGCCACCCACGUGGACAGCCUCAUUCUGGCCGACUCCCUUGAUGGCCAGUGGCAGGGAUUGGCUGGAGAACUGAGGCCAGGCGACAGGGAGGCUGUCGUGCUUCUUCUCUGCUUCCUCCCGCUCUGGUGUCCGUUGGCUGGCACCAACUGCCCCUGUUCCCAUGUCAGCUCCGGCUGGCAGCCCCAUUCACAUUCUUGGCUCCCGACACGCCGGGAGCUGGGACACGCUGUAUCCCCCUUUCCCUCCUUCAGCUCUUAGGAGUAGUAACCGCCCUCCACUACUGCAGGAGGUGGACACACCGCCUCUCUGUUUGUUCUCUGCGCCCUGCCCACACCUUGGAAGCAGCCCCUUUGUUAGAGUCUCUCCAUUUGCACCAUCUAGAAUGAACGCUAUUUCCUGCCACACACUUGUACAACAUAUUGUCAUACAUUGACAAAUCAGAGAGUCCCUGUAGUGCCCUGUGAAAAUGCACUGAUCUUAAAUCAAGAGGCCUGAGUCUGAGGAUUGGCUAACUUUGGCUAAGUCACUUUACUUUUCUGGUCCUUGGUUUUGCUAUCUGUAAAAAGGGGCUGAUAAUGCCUGUUUCAGAAUGCACCAUGACAGUAAAACAAUGUAUGUGAAAAUGUCCAGGAAAUUCUAAAGAAAUGCAAAUAAUUCAAGAACUUUUAGGAAACUAGAAUAUUCAAUUUUUCCUUAUAUCCUUUCCCCCUAACUCUUCUGGAUAAGAAUGUGUGCUUUGUGUCUUAGUUCGACCUGCUGUAACAAAAACACCAUAGAUUGGGUGGCUUAGACAACAAACAUUGGUUUCUCACAGUUUCAGAGGCUGGGAAGUCUAAGAUUAAAUCGCUGGCCGAUUUAGUGUCUGGUGAGGUCCCUCUUCCUGGUUUGCAGAUGACUGUCUUCUCCUUGCGUCCACAGGCAGCAGAAAGAGAGAGAAAGAGAGAGAGAGAUCCCUGUCUCCUCCUCUUUGUAUAAAGGCACUAACCCCUUCAUGAGGGCCCCACCCUCAUGACCUCGUCUAACCCUAAGUAUCUCCCAAAGGUCCCACUGCCUAAUACCAUUCCACUGGGGGUUAAAGUUUCAACAUAUGAAUUUGGAGGGACACGAACACGCAGUCCAUAAUACUUUGUUUAAAGCAAAGUAUACCUUUGCCCUGUGCUGAGACCAGAGGUGACUAGAAAAAGGAAAGUCCCGGAUCUGCCCUCUUCCCUUCCUAGAUGUCCAUUUCAGGGCUCAGCUGCUCUUUGCUGCCUGUGCUUAAUCUCUAUUAUCCACCCUCAGUGAGAGUCUCGGGCAGAAGUUUCUGUGCCUUAGUUUUACACCGAUCCAUCUACUUUUCCUUUUCCGUCUUCAGCCAUUCUGUAAACAUUUGGGUUCCUUUUUCUCUUCUUCCAAAUCUUCAACAUUCUAUCUAGUUUUUUGGCUGCUUUAUCUGCUUUAAAGUCACAUGCUUCCCUAGAGCCUAAAGUAAUAAUUUUUAGUAAAACCUCUAUCACUCACCAAAAUUCUCUUCUCCUCCUCAUCCUGACACUAUAUCAAGCAAGAAUCUCCUACGGAUGGUUUUCACCAAUAAGAAAUUGUUGCUUUGACUUUACAAAAAUCUAGAUCAAUUUUCUUGUGGCCAAAAUUCACCAGAAAGACAUUUAAUUCUCUACUUUACUUUAAUCAUAUAUGCUCGCCCUGAAAAUCUGAUCUUUCUCUGGAGUCGUCAUUCCAGCACUACAUGGGUGUUCCCUGUAAAAGGGAACAAUCAACAAGAUUAAGUUACUUUGAGUUCUUAAUUGAUUUUCCAGAACUUCCUCUUCCUAUGACAAAACAUAGCCUUCUGAGCAACACAUUCAAUUUAGCCUCAUCCUGCCUGGAGCUUUAGUGAACAAGAUACAUUCUGGAAAGAAAAGUAAUUUCACAUGUAGAUGACUAAUUGGCACUUUUUAACCUCCCAGUAAUAACCUUAUUACUUAUCUUUAGCAAAUCUAGUGCCAGAACAGAGUCUGUCUUCAUGUUAUAUGCUUUGAGAGUUCAAAUUCCUUUGAUCCUUGGAGUUUUGUUGUAGCAAAUAUUUGCUAGAAGUAAAGAGGACAUCCUUACAGAAUUUGGCAAUACUUUGCUAUGUAAAGACUUUGGUCAGGCUAAUUAUGGUAAUUGUAUUUAACUACUAUGACUUAGUAUAAUUUUCCUUCUUCUUGAUAAUUUAUAGUCAUACUUAAAAACAAAACAAAUCAGAGUUAAUCUCUUUUAAGUAAGACACGGCGUGAUACCUCUGAGUGUGUGUGGCAACCCAAACGGAGAAGCCCUACACAAUACUAGUUUCCAGGGCAGGAACGCAUGUGACUUGCUGCACCCCCCGGGGCCUGCAGAGCCUCUGUUGCAACUUCUGAAUUCUGCCAUUGUAGUGCAAAAGCAGUCAUAGACAAUAGGUAAGCAGAAUGGCAUGGCUGUGUUCCAAUAAAACUUUAUUUACAAAAACAGGGUUGGGCUACAUUUGACCCUGCUUUCCUUUCUUACAGAGCAAUUGCUACUUUGUACUGUAAUUAUCUCUAACUUGUCUGUCUCCACCUGUGCACUUCUAAUGAAGAUUCUCCAUUGUUAAACACUUUCAAAAAUAAAGUCCAAUCAUUGGGCAACCCAUCGUAAAAAUAAUUGAUUCAGGGGAGAGUCAUCAAUGGAUACGAAAACAAGUGGGAGAUCUAAUGAGAAACAAGAUAUUCACAUAGUCUCCAAAUAGCUCCCCACAGCAUACUUAUUAAUUGCAACGGGGGAAAAUAGUAACUUUACAGGGGGGAAGCCUAGCAGAAGCCCCCUCAGUCAAGUGAUCAAAGUUAAUAUACCUGGUGGUGGGAUAAAUCAACACCGGGUGCUUCACUUCUUUGGGAUUCCUGCCUAAGAUAAAUAACCGGAAUCCAAUCGUGUGAAAACAUCAAACAACCCCACACCGAGGGACAUUCUACAUAAUAUUUUGGCCUAUUCUCUUCACAAAUGUCAAUGUCACAAAAGACAAAGACUGAGAAACUGGUUCAGAUUAAAGAAUAGAAAAGAAACACGAUACAUGAACGCAAUUCAUGAUCUGGGAUUUUCUUUUUGCAAAGGACAUUAUUGGAAAGAGCAUCAAAAUCAGAAAAAUGUCUGUAGAUUGAAGAGUAUUUUGUAUGAAAGUUAACUUCUAGAUUUUGAUAAUUGUACAGUGGUGAUGUCCUUGUUUUUCGUACAUACACACUGAAGUAUUUACAGGUAAAUGGGCAGCAUGGCUGCAACUAGGGUGACCAAUUACCCCGGUUUGCCUGGGACUGAAGGGGCUCCCGGAUGCAGGACUUUCAGUGUGAGAGUCAAAAAAGUCCUAGGCAAACUGGGAAGAGUUGGUCACCUCCAUGAAAUUGACUCUCAAAAGGUUCAGGACAAAAAUGUGAAUGUGUUUAUGUGUGUGUGUGUCUAUGUCUGUGUAUGUGUAAAACAAAUGUGGUAAAUAUUAAUAUUUGGAGGAUACAAGUGCAGAAUCUUUGUAUUAUUCUCACAACUUCUGUAUGACUGAAAUUAUAGCAAAAUAAAAAGUUGAAAAGAAAAAAGUCCAACACAGCUUAGAGAAAUGGCCUCCGAAGCAGAUUGGAACGUGUUUUCUGUGUCGUGGCAAUAAGUACAGUGGCCCAGAGUAGAAACUACGUUGGUCUAUGUCUAGGCUGAGGAAUGUUAUUCAAAUAGCAGCCCCUUGACUUCAAGCCACAGCCCUGCGCUCUCCCAGCUGGAGCACUGGAAGCCUGUCUUAGAACACCACAUUUUUAGACCCCAGAGUGUGAGGCGGGUCAGCAAAUGACUGACAGUCAGUCACUAUUUCAUCACCGAUUCUAUGUUGGGCAUGAUGUACGCUCUGUCCUUCAGGUAAGCGCUUCCGAUCCUCAUAACCACCUUAGGGGAGACGAUUAGUAACCUUGUUUUACAGAUGAAGGAAAAAAGUGAGUCAUAAAAUAAUUAAACACUUGACCAAGUGUACACAGCUACAGAGUGGCCAAGGAGGGAUCCAAAACCAGCUCCAAAUAACCAAAGACAACACAAAUGCCUAACAGGAGGCCAGAUAAAUACUCUAUGUCCAUGACUGCCACGGAAGAGGAAGCGGCUGUUCCAAACUAUGAGGUGUUGCUGCGUACGUAUACUGACCGGGAAGGUUAUCAGUGAUACAUUGUUGAGUCCCAGCUACAUUCAGUUAGUGCUGCAAGAAUCCCUGUGGGUAUGUGAUUAGUCUGUGUGUGUGAAACUAUAUGCAUACACUUAUGUUUUGUGUUAAUAGAAAGGUCAAGGGACAAUAGGCCUCUCAAACUUUAGAGUCCUUGAGAAUCACCUGGUGAACUUGUUAAAACGCGUAUUAAUACAAAGCUCCGCUCCUGUUGGAGGGGACCCAAGAAUCCACAUUUCCAAUCACACCUAAACUCUGAAAGGAUGGAAAGCAAGCUCUUGCCAAUGGUUUCUAGAGAGUAGGAAUUUUCACUUUUCACUUUUUAAAAGUUUCUUGUUGCGUGAAUAUUUUUAAACAGGCAUGCACCACUUUUAUCCCUUUAAAACUUAUGUUGAACCCCUGCUCCAAUACCUGUCCUCUUACCAAAACUUCACAGCUGCCUGAAAGCUACGGGACCCCAGACCAGCCUGUGACUGGCAACCGAGCCCCUGGCCCUGGGGGAAGCAGAGCAUGCGAGGCAAUCAAGUAAAAGGGCGUCCUUCCUGAUGUCACGCUCAAGGACAGCGGCCCGCGGAGGUUCUGGGUACCAGAGAUGGUGCAUGAAGACCAAGGUGGCAAGGGUCGUGUCUCUGCUGCUGGGAAUGACUGGAAGGUUAUUACAACCCGAAGAGAAGAGAGGCUGCCCAUGGCUGGUCACACAGUUUACAGGAUGCUGGGAUUGUCUCUACCCCUCUUGAUAACAGCAGGCACAUUUGAAAGGUUUAAAACAGAGAUGUGGUUGAAGACCUGUGAUAAAUAUAUGCUUCUUCAUUUAGCCAGGUAAGUUAGCAAUAUUCUGCAACUAAGCCACAAGCAGGAUGUAGUUUUAAUACAUAUUUCCUAUUCAGAAAGGAACAACUAGUUAAGAAUUUCAAAAUGUCUGACUCCUACAGAGUUGUGAUUGACAUUCACUGGUUAUCCCUCCAGCAUGAAUUCUUCCCUCCCCCACCUUCAUUUUCCUUGGACACACACCCCCCUUCCAUUCUCCCUGGUGGCGUUGAUGGGAUGGACCCCACCCCCAACUCCAGAAAUGGACUCUAAUUGGCACAAGUCAAUUAAGAUAUGCCAUUCCUCAGGCCACAUAGAUUGGUCAAGGAUGAGCUCAUAAUCCAAUGUGGGUCAAUGAUUCAUAGUGAUAAGCAUUAAGAAAAAAGAAAGAGCUCAAAUAAACAAUUUAACUUUACAUCUCAAGGAACUAGAGAAAAAGGAACAAACUAAACCCAAAGUUAGUAGAAGGAAGGAAGUAACAAAGAUCAGAGUGGACAUUGUAAAUGAAAUAGAGGCUAACGACAAUAGAAAAGUCAAUGAAAAUGAGAGCUGGUUUUCUGAAAAGAUAAAGUGACAAACUUGUAGCUAGACUCAUCAAAAAAAAAAAGAGAGAGGUCUCAAAUAAAUAAAAUUAGAAAUGAGAAAGGAGACAUUACAACUAAUACCACAGAAAUGCAAAGGAUCAUAAGAGACUACUAGGAAAAAUUAUAUGCCAACAAAUUGGACCACCUAGAGGAAAUGGAAAAUUUCUGAGAAACAUUCAACUACCAACACCGAAUCAUGAAGAAAUAGAAAAUCUGAAGAGACCUAUGACCAGUAAGGAGAUUGAAUCGGUAAUCAAAAACCUCCCAACAAAGAAAAGUCCAGGUCCAGCCGGCUUCAUUGGUCAAUUCUACCAAACAUUCAAGGAAGAAUGAAUACCAAUGCUUCUCAGACUCUUCCAGUUCGGGCCUGUGAGAGAGGUGACAAUCACAGGACUUGUGUGGAAAAUAAUAAAAGGGGUUCUCUGUCCCUGGUCACACCUGGUGUGGUAUGAGGAUGCGAGGCAGGGAACUGCCGGAGUAAUCUCCCACCCUGGGGAGAGCCCAGAGUUGCCAGGGGCCUUUGUGUGAAUUUGGAGAGAUUGUGAGAGCCAGAUCCUUGUAUGGCUCAGACUUACCUGAAGCCAGCCCUACCUCUGGACUUUUCAGUUACUAAGCCAAUAAAUUCUCUUUGUUGUUUAAGCCAGGUCUAUGAACUCUCUGUCACUUGCAACCACAAGAGACCUAAAUGAUUCAAGGCUGCUAAUGCUAUUCCUAGCCACACCUAGCCAGCAUCUAAAGAAACACCGAAACCUUGUGAUGAAUGUGUUUUCGUGUCUUUGUUGUUGUGGCUUUUACCUCACCAGGAUCCUCCACUCUUCUUUUAUUCACAAGGAACUUUAUUGCCUCUUAGGGAACCACUGCUCCCCACUCUCACUCAAUACCAUCCUAGCUGACCUCACCUCCUGGCUCCAGCAGUGGACAUGUGAGCCAGGCAUAACCAACAGGGCGUUCCAUUCAUGGGGCUAUUUGAUUGGAUCAAGGAUGGGUAAACUAUCCCAAGGUGACCAGUGAAAAUAAGAUUCAGGACUUAUAACUCUCAUUGAAAAGGCAGUUGGAGGGUUUGCUGAGAGAGGAGGAUACAAAUAUCUUCAUGGACGGUUUGCCAUCACAUAAUAGAGAGAACUUUCCUGGAAAGGAAGCAAUAGAGAAAAAAGAAAGACAAAAGAUAAAGAGAUGGUGAGAGACAAACCAAAUCCUAACAACAAUCCCUGAGGCCUGGAUCCAGCCAUGCCUGAAGCAUGUAAAGCAAUAACUUCCUUCUAGUUAAGACAGUUUGAGCUGAGCUUUCUGUCACUUGCAGUUUAGAAUCUUGAUUACUACAGACCUGAAAUUUUUUUCACACUAAAAUAAAUAGUUCUUUCUAUUUAUUAUAAUAUUCUUAUUUUUCACUCGUACAAAAGUAAUGCAUGCUUAAUGCAGACAGUCUGGAAACACAAAGAAAAUAAGGCAAAAUUCACUUUUAGACCACAAGUCUGACUUUAUGAUUGCUAACCUCUUAGUGUAUGUUUUUUGAGUCUUUUCAUAUGCUUAUUUAUGGAUUACUACAACAUUAGUUCCAAAUUAUGUAGGUGCACUAUAAUUUAUUUAGUCUUUUCUUUUAACAGCUGAAGUCAUUUUCUUUCUUUCUUUUUCUGUUAUUUACUAUUUACUAUCAUGAACAUCUGUGUUGACAAAUCUUUGCACACAUCCAUAGCCAUUUCCUUAGCAUAAAUUCACAUAGUCAUAUGCAUAAUAAAUUCCUCAUUAGGUUGUUUCCAAUUUUUUAUUAUAAAUAAUGUUUAAAUGAACAUGUUUAUGCAUUCCUUUGUAUGGCAUAAAGUCCUAGGAGUGGAAUUGCUCGGGAGAGGGCAUGGCCCUGCGAGGCUUUUGGGAGACAUUGCCAAGCUGCCCUGCAGAAGGCUGUUUGAAUCUGUCUUCGCUGCUCCUCCAAACCGUCACACACACUGGAUGUUGCUAUUGCCGCAGUUACUAAUCAAGAUGAACAUUUUCUUCAUAUGUUGGUCAGCUAUUUUUGUUGAUAUUUUCUUAUUUGCCUCUUCACAUCCAAACACUUGGAAUUCUUUUACUUUUCUUUCAGGAGUAAUCAGAUAGAUAAGGUAAUGCCUCGUUAUCAGUCAUUUUAGUUAUUUUUCCAAUGACACUUUCUGUAUGUGCAAAAGAACUCCAGGCCCUAGUGGAUGCAUUUUGGUUGGAAACACCUAUUGCUUUGAAUUUUUGCUGACGACUUUCUGUAUCACCAACCUGCCGUGAGUUAAGUACAAUGACUUGAGAGAUAACUUGUGUAGUUACCCUGGGUACAUAAAAUGGGUUUGGAGCCAGGCUUUUUGGGGUCUUAAUCUAGCCCCAUCACUUACCAGUUGUGUGACAAUGGACAAAUUGCUGAAAAUCUCUGUGCCUAAUUUUUCUCAUCUGUAAAACGGGGAUAACAGUAUCUGAUUCAUAGGGUUGUUGGAUCAUUACGAUGAGGUGAAUAAAGCACUUGGUGACAAGGUCUCCUCGCACAAGUUAAGCCCUCAGUUAACAUUAACCAUCAGUCACAGAAUCCAGUAGCAGCUGAUCUGCAUUGAAUGUGUGAGAAGGAUGAUACAAACAUCCCACUUCAUCUUCAUCAGCUCUCCGAAUCAGUUUCUUCUGUAAUGGCCACUUUAUAAACGAGGACUAAGUUGCAGAGGGAUUGCAUCACUUUAGCCAAAGCCUCCUUGUUAAUAUGUGGAAUGGGGACCCAAGCCCACCUACCCUGCCUCUGGGAGAAUAUAGAAGACAGACUGCUUGCAUUUUUUAACAAAAAUGUUAUCUGAAGACCUUUUUUUUUCUUGCAGGGAAAGAUUCA